GGCCCGCUGCCAGGAGUGGUCCCUGCUUUUCCUGGAUUCCCAAGCCUUUCGGGGAAAGCAGGAGUUCUAGCAGGGACCUGAGGACAUAGGCCGGGCCUUAGGACACAGCCAGCGAGCUAGUGCUGUUUCUGAAGUCUCGCCCUCAUCCAUGGCCUUGCGGGGAACAACCUGCUGGCCCUCACACUGAAAGACACGGUAAACAGCACCCAGGAGGGAUGUGGAGAGGGCAGGUUUCCUAAGCGCCUACUCCACCUGGUAUGUGCAGCUGACUUCUGACCGCCCGACCCGCCUCUCCACCAGAGUAUGUGGUCCUCGGAGAAGAAGGCGUUGUGGGUAAAUUCUAGCUGUAGAGAGAGACGGCGGUUUAAAUCUGCCUCUUCCCACUUGGGGAGCAGUACAUGUCGUCUUCUCCCUCUGGGCCCUGGUGGUGCCCUUAUCGGUAAAGCGGGUGAAGUUGGAUGAUGCUGCAUAAUGCCGCCUGUCUCACCGUGUGGCAGAGACUUCUGGAUGGCGGGUCACACACAUGUCUUCUGGGAAGUGUUCUUCAGCCCUGCGCCCCAGGUAUUCCCCGACUGGAAAGCCGCACGCUGCUCUGGAGAGUGAGGUCCACAUUCCCCGAGCUGCUGAUGGCCGCAGUGAGGCCUGAACUCUACAUUAAGGCCUCGGGGUGGGGAGGGGGAGGACACUUGCUGCUGAAGUUCCUCGUUCCCCUGGCUUUGCUCCAGCCCCAAGGCUUUCAAAGGUGCC